AAUCUUUUCAACACGUUUCUCAAAUUCCAGCCACCAAAUAUUCUAUAAAUUUGUUCAUGUUCAAGUGAAUCUACAAAGCACAAGAGUUCAAUUGAAAACUAAUUCAGUUCUUUAUCAGAUACGUAAUUUUGUCGAUAUUUUUUUGGAAGAUCAUGGCCAAAGCUCAACAUUCUUAAUAGUCACGAGUAGCUUCUUUGAAACCUACUCAAAAAAAGAAAUAACUAGCUUCUUCAGCAAAUUCAUUCUUAAUAGGCACGAGCGGACAGUCUUAUUGCUGUAUAUAGUCAGUUGAAGCCCUACCGAUGCUGGAUUUGAAUAUUUUUGUACCAAAAAAAUAGCUGUUGCACGGAGAAAGAUGCACCAGUAGUAGUGCGGCAGAUAUAUCCUAACCCUUGGAAGUACUACUCAUGUCAUGUAAUAUG